rnacentral:lncRNA from 1 species
GCUCGUGAUCAAAUGAUACAAUUGUUACAAAGAUAAUAAUUGUACUGAGUAUAGAUCAUUGUAUACCAUAUUAGUUGGUUGUUCUCUUAACCAAAAUGUACGGUGACACGGGUAUGGCAUAUGGGUGAUAUGUAGGAGUAUAUUUCACUGAGCGUGAUGACCUCUGGAGUACUUUGUUGUCAAGGACUGCUCUGAUGGG